UUACGGCCAUAUCACGUUAAAACACCGGUUCUCGCAUGAUCACUAAAGUUAAGCAACUUCGAGCCUAGUUAGUACAUGAUGAGUGACCCCUUGGGAAUGCU